AGAGUUUGAUCCUGGCUCAGAAUGAACGUUGGCGGCGUGGAUUAGGCAUGCGAGUCGCGCGAUAAUGUAGCAAUACAGGACAGCGGCGAAAGGGAGAGGACAACAUAGGAAUCUGCCCUGGGGUCGGGGAUAGCGUCGGGAAACUGACGGUAAUACCCGAUAAUAUCCAAGGAUCAAAGGAGCAAUUUGCCCCGGGAUGAGCCUAUGCCCCAUUAUCUAGUUGGCGGUGUAAUGGACCACCAAGGCUGUGAUGGGUAGCUGGUGUGAGAGCACGACCAGCCUCACUGGCACUGAGACACUGGCCAGACACCUACGGGUGGCUGCAGUCUGAGAAUCUUCGGCAAUGGACGAAAGUCUGACCGAGCGACGCCGCGUGUGGGAUGAAGGUCUUCGGAUUGUAAACCACUGUCGAGGGGGAUUAAGGGAAACUUGAAAGAACCCUGGAGGAAGGGGAGGCUAAGCUCGUGCCAGCAGCCGCGGUAAGACGAGCUCCCCAAACGUUAUUCGGUAUUACUGGGCUUAAAGAGUUCGUAGGCGGCGAAGUAGGUGAGGUGUGAAAGCCCUCGG
rnacentral:rRNA from 1 species